rnacentral:rRNA from 1 species
GAUGAACGCUGACAGCAUGCUUAACACAUGCAAGUCUACUUGAACUUCGGUUUGGGUGGCGGACGGGUGAGUAACGCGUAAAGAACUUGCCCCACAGUUAGGGACAACAUUUGGAAACGAAUGCUAAUACCUGAUAUUAUGAUUUUAGGGCAUCCUAAAAUUAUGAAAGCUAUAUGCGCUGUGAGAGAGCUUUGCGUCCCAUUAGCUAGUUGGAGAGGUAACGGCUCACCAAGGCGAUGAUGGGUAGCCGGCCUGAGAGGGUGAACGGCCACAAGGGGACUGAGACACGGCCCUUACUCCUACGGGAGGCAGCAGUGGGGAAUAUUGGACAAUGGACCAAAAGUCUGAUCCAGCAAUUCUGUGUGCACGAUGACGUUUUUCGGAAUGUAAAGUGCUUUCAGUUGGGAAGAAAAAAAUGACGGUACCAACAGAAGAAGUGACGGCUAAAUACGUG